CUGCCGGUCCCUCGCAACGCUAGAUCGAAAACCCCGCCAGGGCCGGAAGGCAGCAACGGUAUUGAUUGAUGCGGGUGCCGAGAUCAACCGGUGGGGCC
rnacentral:SRP_RNA from 19 species